rnacentral:rRNA from 1 species
UACGUAGGGUGCAGGCGUUAAUCGGAAUUACUGGGCGUAAAGCGUGCGCAGGCGGUUUGCUAAGUCAGACGUGAAAUCCCCCGGCUUAACCUGGGAACUGCGUCUGAUACUGGACGGCUUGAGUAUGGGAGAGGAACGUAGAAUUCCAGGUGUAGCGGUGAAAUGCGUAGAUAUCUGGAGGAAUACCGGUGGCGAAGGCGGCGUUCUGGACCAUUACUGACACUGAAUCGCGAAAGCUAGGGGAGCAAACGGG